rnacentral:tRNA from 1 species
GAAGGUAUAGCUCAGUGGUAGAGUGUAUGCUUAGCAUGCAUGAAGUCCUGGGUUCAAUCUCUAGUACCUCCA